UACGGAGGGGGCUAGCGUUGUUCGGAAUUACUGGGCGUAAAGCGCGCGUAGGCGGCUUUGUAAGUUAGAGGUGAAAGCCCAGAGCUCAACUCUGGAAUUGCCUUUUAGACUGCAUCGCUUGAAUCAUGGAGAGGUCAGUGGAAUUCCGAGUGUAGAGGUGAAAUUCGUAGAUAUUCGGAAGAACACCAGUGACGAAGGCGGCUGACUGGACAUGUAUUGACGCUGAAGGUGCGAAAGCGUGGGGAGCAAACAGGAUUGAGAACUUAC
rnacentral:rRNA from 1 species